rnacentral:rRNA from 1 species
UAGGGAAUCUUCGGCAAUGGGGGGAACCCUGACCGAGCAACGCCGCGUGAGUGAAUAAGGUUUUCGGAUCGUAAAGCUCUGUUGUUAAGGAAGAACGAGUGUGAGAAUGGAAAGUUCAUACUGUGACGGUACUUAACCAGAAAGGGACGGCUAACUACGUGCCAGCAGCCGCGGUAAUACGUAGGUGGCAAGCGUUGUCCGGAUUUAUUGGGCGUAAAGCGAGCGCAGGCGGUUUAAUAAGUCGAAUGUUAAAGAUCGGGGCUCAACCCCGUAAAGCAUUGGAAACUGAUAAACUUGAGUAGUGGAGAGGAAAGUGGAAUUCCUAGUGUAGUGGUGAAAUACGUAGAUAUUAGGAGGAAUACCAGUAGCGAAGGCGACUUUCUGGACACAAACUGACGCUGAGGUACGAAAGCGUGGGGAGCAAACAGG